AAUAAGCGUAGUUUUACACUGUUCAUAUCCAAUGUUUGACCGUUCGUCUUAUUUGAAAAAAAUUUAUGAUUAAUAUUUUUAUUGUUAUUAGAUGAUAAAAUAUAAAUAGUACUUUAUGUCUGAAUAAUUGUUUUUUUAAAAAAAAUUCAUAAUUCUUUUAAAUAAGACGAACGUCAAACGUUGGAUACGGAUAUCUAUGGCUGAGCUUAUU
rfam:Oryza sativa Japonica Group DNA, chromosome 1, cultivar: Nipponbare, complete sequence.